AGAGUUUGAUCCUGGCUCAGAAUCAACGCUGGCGGCGUGCCUAACACAUGCAAGUCGAACGAGAAAGUGGAGCAAUCCAUGAGUAAAGUGGCGCACGGGUGAGUAACACGUGACUAACCUACCCUUGAGUGGGGGAUAACCUGGAGAAAUCCGGGCUAAUACCGCAUAACACCUACGGGUCAAAGGAGCAAUUCGCUUAAGGAGGGGGUCGCGGCAGAUUAGCUAGUUGGCGGGGUAAUGGCCCACCAAGGCGGUGAUCUGUAUCCGGCCUGAGAGGGCGCACGGACACACUGGAACUGAAACACGGUCCAGACUCCUACGGGAGGCAGCAGUGGGGAAUUUUGCGCAAUGGGGGAAACCCUGACGCAGCAACGCCGCGUGGAGGAUGAAGUCUCUUGGGACGUAAACUCCUUUCGACCGGGACGAUUAUGACGGUACCGGAAGAAGAAGCCCCGGCUAACUUCGUGCCAGCAGCCGCGGUAAUACGAGGGGGGCAAGCGUUGUUCGGAAUUAUUGGGCGUAAAGGGUGCGUAGGCGGUUCGGUAAGUCUUGUGUGAAAUCUUCGGGCUCAACUCGAAGUCUGCACUAGAAACUGCCGGGCUUGAGUGUGGGAGAGGUGAGUGGAAUUUCCGGUGUAGCGGUGAAAUGCGUAGAUAUCGGAAGGAACACCUGUGGCGAAAGCGGCUCACUGGACCAUAACUGACGCUGAUGCACGAAAGCUAGGGGAGCAAACAGGAUUAGAUACCCUAGUAGUCC
rnacentral:rRNA from 1 species